AUUGAACGCUGGCGGCAGGCCUAACACAUGCAAGUCGAACGAGUGGCGGACGGGUGAGUAAUGUCUGGGAAACUGCCUGAUGGAGGGGGAUAACUACUGGAAACGGUAGCUAAUACCGCAUACCAUCGGAUGUGCCCCGAGGGGAUUAGCUAGUAGGUGGGGUAAAGGCUCACCAAGGCGACGAUCCCUAGCUGGUCUGAGAGGGUGACCGUCCACACGGGAACUGAGACACGGUCCCGAAUCCUACGGGAGGCAGCAGUGGGGAAUAUUGCAAAAUGGGCGCAAGCCUGAUGCAGCCAUGCCGCGUGUGGGAAGAAGGCCUUCGGGUUGUAAAGCACUUUCAGCGAGGAGGCGUUACUCGCAGAAGAAGCACCGGCGAACUCCGUGCCAGCAGCCGCGGUAAUAC
rnacentral:rRNA from 1 species